rnacentral:lncRNA from 1 species
CUCUGAGUUGUGCUCGGCAGUGCCGCCAGGAAGGGGUGCAUAAAGAACAACAAAACAAUCUUGUGCCUGUCUGUCCAGUGGCAACAUCUGUAUCAUGUUAGCAAUGCUCAGACUCUUGAAAUGCCUUCUCAUUACUCUUGCCUUCAGGAUGAAGUUAGAUUCUUCUUGUCGUGGAGGAAAAGAGCUGAAGUACAAGAGAAAAUUUCAUCUUUAAUUAAUUUGUCUUGGUCCCUUAUGCUUCUGAAAUAAUACCAGUGCUCCUGAAGGAAAACAUCAGAGAGGAACACCAGGGAAGUGUAAAGAUUUCCUUCCUUUAUAAUGCUUGCUGAGUGAUACAUCUUUGAACAAGUCACUGACAUGUGUCCCUCCUUGUUAUAGAGUAUAUAACAAAAUGAACGCACCUCACAGGAGCUUUCUGAGGACUUGCGCCUGUAAAGCCCUUUUGAGGAUGAAAAGCAUUAUAUAAGUAUUGAGCGCUAAUCUCAGGCAUGUGGACAAGUUGUGCACAUUCAAAGUAAAAACCUUUCUAAUAACAUCCAUCUGCAUCUUGAAUACAAGAAAGAAAUUGUAAGACAGCCUGUCAAUGAUCAAGGCUUUUGCAUGCAGCUCACCCUACUGUUUGGCUGCUGGCUAGCCUCGAGAGUCCACAGAGGAAAAUGGCUCUGAAGGAAGGAAUGCGCAUGUUAAGCAGAGGGCAGCUUUUGUGAAGGGUGAGAAAAAUAAGGCAAACACCCUCAGCUGCCAAAGU